rnacentral:rRNA from 1 species
CAGCGCCACGAGUGGGGAUCACGAUUAUUGGGCCUAAAGCGUCCGUAGCCGGCUUGAUAAAUCUCUUGUGAAAUCGUUUGGCUCAACCAAACGGCGAGCAGGAGACACUAUUAAGCUUGAGACCGGGAAGGGUUAGAGGUAUGUUUGGGGGAGCGGUAAAAUGCUAUAAUCCCUUACAGACCAAUGGUGGCGAAGGCGUCUAACUAGAACGGAUCUGACGGUGAGGGACGAAAGCCAGGGGAGCAAUCCGGAUUAGAGACCCGUGUAGUCC